UGGGGAAUAUUGCACAAUGGGCGCAAGCCUGAUGCAGCCAUGCCGCGUGUGUGAAGAAGGUCUUCGGGUUGUAAAGCACUUUUAGCGGGGAGGAAGGCGGUGAGGUUAAUAACCUCAUCGAUUGACGUCACCCGCAGAAGAAUCACCGGCUAACUCCGUGCCAGCAGCCGCGGUAAUACGGAGGGUGCAAGCGUUAAUCGGAAUUACUGGGCGUAAAGCGCACGCAGGCGGUCUGUCAAGUCGGAUGUGAAAUCCCCGGGCUCAACCUGGGAACUGCAUUCGAAACUAACAGGCUAGAGUCUUGUAGAGGGGGGUAGAAUUCCAGGUGUAGCGGUGAAAUGCGUCGAGAUCUGGAGGAAUACCGGUGGCGAAGGCGGCCCCCUGGACAAAGACUGACGCUCAAGUGCGAAAACGUGGGGAGCAAACGGG
rnacentral:rRNA from 1 species